CCUCCGUCUUCGCCAAAUCAUCAUGCUAAGUGCUCCGAGAUAUACACAAUCCCUCAGGGUGUCAUCCAAUUUGAUCCUCUCUCUUGAUUCAAUAUCAAGUUGGACCCGUUUCUUGGAUUUCCUCGCGUCAUUGGUCGGUUGACGUCGACCUCUCCGACGAAGAGAGCGAGCGCCGCCUUCAUAACAGGUUAUUGUGUAGGAGCAGGCAAAGGGGGUUCCUUGAAUUGGAAUUGG